GAGGGGAGGUGGAUCUGCUGUGUGGACACACCUCUUCCUGCAGGGCGGGGCCAAGUGAGACAGGUAUGAUGCUACUGGAAGUCAGCAGAGGAACGGCCACGCCGUCUCCUCAGCACAGCAACGGGGCCGCUGUCGCCAACGGCAACGACAGAUCCUGCUGACCCUGCAUCUAACUGUGAGGAGGACUCAGUGUCCCACCAGUCAUGUAUGCUAAGCCCAGCCAGCCUGACCCACACACCUAGCCCAGGGGUCAAUCACAUCACUGACAAGACACAGGGACUAUUUGGCCAUCUCCAGAAAGGAGAGCAGGCUACGAAUGUGAAGGAACUCAUCCAAAAUAUCACAGGCAAUCCAGAACAAGGAUACAGAGGACUUUCCACCAAAAAUGUUUUAUCUGAGUCUAUGUCUAUCCCUUCAACCAAUGAGCAGUGACUGGGGAAAGCCACGAGUCACUUUGUUCUCGAACACUGAUACCUGGAAAGAAAUAUCACGGGAUGGACAGAGAGACAGAAAGACUAAAACUCUCUUCCCAGCUUGGUAGUGGACUCUAACCACUGCUGUUAGUCGUAUGAACCUGAGGGCUUCAAAUGUAGCAGAUACUUUGCCCCCAACCAAUGGAAUAUGAUACCACAACCUGACAAGGAGACUAGACGCUUAGCAAUUAUUUAAUUUAUAUCAAAAUAAUCAGUCUUCUGAGAGAAAGAAAAAUAAAUAAAAACAUUCUUUGACAGUG